UACGAAGGGGGCUAGCGUUGCUCGGAAUCACUGGGCGUAAAGGGCGCGUAGGCGGACUCUUAAGUCAGGGGUGAAAGCCUGAGGCUCAACCUCAGAACUGCCUUUGAUACUGAGAGUCUCGAGACCGGUAGAGGUAAGUGGAACUGCGAGUGUAGAGGUGAAAUUCGUAGAUAUUCGCAAGAACACCAGUGGCGAAGGCGGCUCACUGGCCCGAUACUGACGCUGAGGCACGAAAGCGUGGGGAGCAAACAGG
rnacentral:rRNA from 1 species